GAAAGCGUGGGGAGCGAACAGGAUUAGAUACCCUGGUAGUCCACGCCGUAAACGGUGGAUGCUGGAUGUGGGGCCCGUUCCACGGGUUCCGUGUCGGAGCUAACGCGUUAAGCAUCCCGCCUGGGGAGUACGGCCGCAAGGCUAAAACUCAAAGAAAUUGACGGGGGCCCGCACAAGCGGCGGAGCAUGCGGAUUAAUUCGAUGCAACGCGAAGAACCUUACCUGGGCUUGACAUGUUCCCGACAGCCGUAGAGAUAUGGCCUCCCUUCGGGGCGGGUUCACAGGUGGUGCAUGGUCGUCGUCAGCUCGUGUCGUGAGAUGUUGGGUUAAGUCCCGCAACGAGCGCAACCCUCGCCCUGUGUUGCCAGCACGUCAUGGUGGGAACUCACGGGGGACCGCCGGGGUCAACUCGGAGGAAGGUGGGGAUGACGUCAGAUCAUCAUGCCCCUUACGUCCAGGGCUUCACGCAUGCUACAAUGGCCGGUACAACGGGAUGCGACACGGCGACGUGGAGCGGAUCCCUGAAAACCGGUCUCAGUUCGGAUUGGAGUCUGCAACCCGACUCCAUGAAGGCGGAGUCGCUAGUAAUCGCGGAUCAGCAACGCCGCGGUGAAUGCGUUCCCGGGCCUUGUACACACCGCCCGUCAAGUCAUGAAAGUGGGUAGCACCCGAAGCCGGUGGCCUAACCCUUUGUGGAUGGAGCCGUCUAAGGUGAGACUCGUGAUUGGGACUAAGUCGUAACAAGGUAGCCGUACCGGAAGGUGCGGCUG
rnacentral:rRNA from 1 species